rnacentral:lncRNA from 1 species
AGGUAGCCACUCCACCUGUUGAUAUGGAUUGAGAGGAUGACAUAGCGUGUGAUAUUUGCGUGCGACAGAGCUGCAGGUGAAGCUGAGGGAGCUGUGCGGGUGGGGCGGCACGGUGAGCCUCCGGUGCCAGCUUCCGACCGAGGACCUCGACACCCUGGUCUCUGUCACCUCCGACGACGACCUAGCCGACCUCGUCGAAGAGUACGACGUCGCGAGCCGAGACCGGCCUUCCCCUCUCAAGAUCCGAGCCUUCCUCCUCCUCCUCCUCC